UUAAAGUUGUUGCAGUUAAAAAGCUCGUAGUUGAACCUUGGGUCUGGCUGGCCGGUCCGCCUCACCGCGAGUACUGAUCCGGCUGGACCUUUCCUUCUGGGGAACCUCAUGGCCUUCACUGGCUGUGGGGGGAACCAGGACUUUUACUGUGAAAAAAUUAGAGUGUUCAAAGCAGGCCUUUGCUCGAAUACAUUAGCAUGGAAUAAUA
rnacentral:rRNA from 1 species